CUCGAGCUUAGCGGCAGUCACUCCUAGAGGCUCAGCAAACACCACUGGGGUUCUUGGGGGAAAAAAAAAUCUCUCAAGGUGGUAUUGACCUGGGACGCUUGGUAACUGGGGGAACUUCUUGAGAGUUUUUUCUUUUUUAAAAUCUUCUUUGAUUAUUUCUCCUUUUCUAAUAAAGUAUAGAAAAGUAUAGAAAAGAAUCAUGUCGGAACACAGCAGGAAUUCAGAUCAAGAAGAACUCUUUGAUGGGGAGAUUGAUGAAGAUGAAAUCUUGGCCAACUUGUCCCCAGAAGAGCUUAAAGAACUGCAGUUGGAAAUGGAGGUGAUGGCCCCUGACCCCAGGCUUCCCGUGGGAAUGAUUCAGAAGGAUCAGACUGACAAGCCACCAACAGGGGACUUCGACCAUAAAUCUCUCGUUGAUUAUAUGUAUUGGCAAAAGGCAUCCAGACGCAUGCUGGAAGACGAACGUGUUCCUGUUACCUUUGUGUCAUCCAAGGGAAAAACUCAAGAACAGCAUGAAGAAAUAGACAAAAGUAAUAAAAAUGUGUCCCAGUAUUUAAAAGAAAAGCUUAAUAAUGAAAUCACUGCACAUAAAACAGAAUCACAGGGCAGUGACAAUGUCCAAGAAACAAAUAAUGAAGAUAAUGAAGAUGAUGUGGAAGAUGAAGAAGAUGAUUCAGAAGAUGAAGAAGAUGAGGGAAAAGAGGACAGUGAAGAGAGUGACGAAAAAAGAAAAAGAGAAGAGGAAGGUGAGGUAAAGGAGCAAAUCAGAAAUGGUGAGAACAACAGCCAACGGGUAACUGAUAAAGUAACUGAAGAACAGAAAGACAGACCAGAGGCCCAAGAAAAAAGUGAGAAAAAAAUAUCAAAAUUAGAUCCCAAGAAGCUAGCUCUAGAUACCAGUUUUUUGAAGGUAAGUGCAAGGCCUUCAGGAAACCAAACGGACCUAGAUGGGAGCUUAAGGCGAGUGAGACAAAAUGACCCUGACAUGAAGGAACUCAACCUGAACAACAUUGAAAACAUCCCCAAAGAAAUGUUGCUGGACUUUGUAAACGCGAUGAAGAAAAACAGACACAUCAAAACCUUCAGUUUAGCGAACGUGGGUGCGGAUGAGAACCUAGCAUUCGCCCUGGCCAACAUGUUGCGUGAAAACAGGAGCAUUACCACUCUUAACGUCGAGUCCAAUUUCAUCACAGGCAAGGGAAUCGUGGCCAUCAUGAGGUGUCUCCAGUUUAAUGAGACACUAACUGAACUUCGGUUUCACAAUCAGAGGCAUAUGUUGGGCCACCAUGCUGAAAUGGAAAUAGCCAGGCUUUUGAAAGCAAACAACACUCUCCUGAAGAUGGGCUACCAUUUUGAGCUUCCAGGUCCCAGAAUGGUGGUAACCAAUCUGCUCACCAGGAAUCAGGAUAGACAAAGGCAGAAAAGACAAGAAGAACAGAAACAGCAGCAACUCAAAGAGCAGAGAAAGUUAAUAGCCAUGUUGGAGAACGGGUUGGGGCUGCCACGUGGGAUGUGGGAGACGCUGGGGGGACCAGUACCUGAUUCUGGGACGCAGGAGUUCCUCCAGCCUCCUCUUCCUCGUCCUCCUCCUCCUCCUCGACCUCCCAGCUCCCAUGCAGUCCCCUUCAGUCGACAAAAUGAGAUGAUGAAAAAGCCAUCACACACUCCGAAGUACAGGACAGACCCUGACAACUUCCGCAUGGUAAAGCUAAAGAGGAUCCAGCGCAAAUCUCGGAUGCCAGAAGCCAGAGAAUCAGCCGAGAAAACCAACCUCAAAGACGUGAUCAAAACACUCAAACCAGUGCCGAGAAACAGGCCACCCCCGCUGGUGGAAAUCACCCCCAGAGAUCAGCUCUUGAACGACAUUCGUCACAGUAACAUCGCCUAUCUUAAACCUGCUCGGCUCAAGUAUGGUUUCUUACAACAAAAGAAACGAAACCAAACAUCAGUGGUGAAUACCCGUCCUGUCUCUUUCUACUGCCCCUCUCUUCUACCUCUCUUUCAGCAUCUUCCACAUGGUGCCUUAGGUUGACAGCUCUUACAGGCACAUUGUAGGUCUCCUAGUGGAUUCUGAGUUCCUCAAGGUGCAACUGCCAAAAGAACUGGCAUAAGAGGCAACAGAAUAAUCUCGGAGAAGAAGGAAUUGACAUAAUGACUCUUGGAUUAGUUUGGAGACUGUUUCAGCAGCAUACUUCUGGAUCCAGGUGGUGGAACUGGGAACAUUGCUAACUGAUAGUUGUAUUUUGUAAAAGGCUUGGCCCGUGACAAAAUAGGGGCUGAAAAGGGGGAAGCAGAUAAAAUAUGAAUAUUCCGGGCAAGAUUUUCUACUUCCAAUCAGUUGGAGUGACUUAGGUGAAACUGAGUCUUCUAGCAGAAGUUAAUUUUUUCGUAAACAUUUGCUUUAUUAUUGCUUUCUUCGGGUAAAUAACAAUAAAUACUAUAGCGGUGUUAACUAUUA